CGUAGCAGCUGAAUCAGAGAUUGGCUGUUACAAAUUAUAAACUUACUCUUAUCAGGAGAGAAUUAUGUCUCUGAAUGCAGAAACUAAAGCAGCAAUCGUUGCAGAAUACGCACAAUGUGAA
rfam:Vibrio genomosp. F6 str. FF-238 FF-238_contig_293, whole genome shotgun sequence.